rnacentral:rRNA from 1 species
UACGGGGGGGGCAAGCGUUGUUCGGAAUUACUGGGCGUAAAGGGCUCGUAGGCGGCCAACUAAGUCAGACGUGAAAUCCCUCGGCUUAACCGGGGAACUGCGUCUGAUACUGGCAGGCUAGAGUGCGGUAGAGGAUGGCGGAAUUCCCGGUGUAGCAGUGAAAUGCGUAGAGAUCGGGAGGAACAUCUGUGGCGAAGGCGGCCAUCUGGACCAGCACUGACACUGAGGCACGAAAGCUAGGGGAGCGAAUGGG